CUGAGAUUGGUAGAUGAUCUGUAGAGUGUUGGGUGGAGAAUCUGAAGUGGAGAUCACUGCCGGCAAACAUACCUCGCCAGAAACUAUAGAGAAAGGUAGGUCUGAGAUUGGUAGAUGAUCUGUAGAGUGGUGGGUGGA